CGGGCUGAGAGGCGGCGGUCCCUUCUGAGGGCGCUGAUGGAAAUUUGUCGGUGCACCUCUGUAACCUGCCUGAAGAGAAUUAUAAUCUCCCGGUGACUUUACCAGCCAUUCAUCUUCCUCCCAUUGAUGGGUCUGAAAGAAGGAAUCCCUAGAGCCGUUUCCGCCUGGCCUCUGAGUCAUCCUCUUGGCUUCUUUAGUCACAGAUAGAAGAGCAGCCCUGUGCUCUCCCCGCUGGUCUCCGGGGGCAAAGCCAGCCACGCAGCACAGUGCCUCCGAUUUCUCCAUGAAAGAUUCACUCGAGUCACCACCCAGCAGAAAAUCAACCCCAUCCACUUCGAUGAAGGUGUCACCAUCAGCAGAAGAUGUUUUCACGCCAGGACACAGCUCUGAAAAUGAGGAAAUGACACAAGAGCCCUGAGAGCGUCGCCUGGCCUUGUGUUGUUUCCUGAAAUACUCGCCACGGUGGGGGAAAGAGCACGACUCCCACUCAACACACUGUGUGAAGGGCACCGCUUGAAAGUAUCUUCCACGUCUGUCCCAUGAUCAAGAUUACUGGAAGGUUAACUGGACAAUGACAGAUUGCCAUGAGAUUUGUUAAUUUCAGGAAACUGGCUUUCAGGCAAAAUGAAAACUGGGCCUUUCUUCCUCAUGGAAUGCAGAAGCUCAUUCAGUAAGGAGUUCGCUACACGCGCAGAGCAGAGACAGAUGGAGCAGCUCAAGCGUAUCAGCAGCAUUGCCAGCGUCGGCUGCAGGCUCCUUUGGUGAGAUUUAACGUAUCUCAACAAUGACUGCGAGGGCUCGUAAACGGUGUGUCCUCAGUACUCCCAUAGAUUCGUCGUAAGUGAAACAGCAGUGGGAACUUCCGGCGGGUACUGUGCGCAUCCUGACCACCUGUGGUGUUUGGAACAAGCAUCCAGUAUUUCUUGGAUGCCUCCCCUCUCUCCUGGGACUGUGGAGACACCGGCCAGCAGCACAUACUUAGUCCCUGACGACUGGAAUAAACCAGUUGCCGCUCACCAUCCCUCAAAUGUUCCAUUCAGUGUUCCGUAAAGAUCCGUCCUUCUCAGGUGGCCUGAGUAUGUUGUGUUUCUGUUUUGUUUUGAGGUCACUGGUUCCUGGGGUGGAUGCCUUUGGACAGCUAGUACUUUUCGGCCUGACUCCUGUCGGGACUAGAAUCUGUUCGUACCUCCGCCUUGAUUCUUUGUACUGAUUUCCUUUAAUGAGCCUACCUCUGAAAUAUUUAACAUCCUUCGGAUCUAUAUUUCUACACAUGAAAUAUUUAACGUCUCCGCUCUGCUCUGCCAAACCCUGCCACGGGCCUGCAUCUCUAGAUUAGACACCUUUCACGUUUUGAAUUCUCGCCUGGGUCUGGACGUGAUUACUCACUCCUGUCUUUUGACUUUUUCUCUCCAAUUUCAGUCCAGUUUUCCUCUCACUUUCCCCCAAGUUCCUGCCAACUGCUGUGUGACUUUUCCAGCAUGCUGCAUGACCAGCCUCUCACUCCCUGCUUCAAACUAACAGUUUCAUUGUGUUAAGGCUCCCACAUAAAAAUCAGUAAAGCAUUUACUAUUUACUAAAGGGUGGAAUAGAAACCAUUCAAAACAUAAUUCCUAAGGAACUGACUGAUAUCAAGCACAGCAGUAUGCUCCACCUCUAAUAGCCUUUUUAACGUGAGGCCACUUAAAUUUCUUAGGUGUGGGCACAGUCAGGAGAUUGAGAUAAACUGAACACAGGUUUCAGAAUAGGACAAUUAGAUUGGUGUCCUUAAACAUUCAUUCAGAAGCUCCCUAAAUAAAAAUAGGUCCCUAAUGGGGAUAUAGAGGGAUAGGAUCCACACAAUGUGCCCAUUAUUAACCAAGUAAAAGUAACCACUUGCUCACUGGUCUGUAUUAAAAAGUUCUCUCAUAUACAUAAUUGUACCUGCACUUCACAAUAACCUUGUAAGGUAGAUAUUAUUUUUAUUAUGUGCAUUUUGAUUCUAGCAAAUAGUAAUUUUAUCAAAUAUUUACCAUAUGCAAGGUCAUAUGAUAAUAUAUUUAACAUUCAUUAUCUCAUUGAAUCCAUAAAAGAUCCCAAAGAGGAAGCAACUACUUUUCAAGGAUGAGGAAAUUUGAGGUUUAUAAAGGCUGUGCCUAAGAAUACAGGUGUAGUAAGUGAGAGAGCUAGGAUUUAAAGAUGCUAAGCUCUUAAUCAUAAAGUUUGGAAGUUAAAUGACUUGCCCAAGGCCUCCCAGCUAGGACAUUUGGGACUGGAAUUGAGCCCAGGGUUUAUGAUAAUUUAUCAUUCACUUUUUAAAACUUUAUUCACAUAGCAUACAAUUCACCUAUUUGAAUUGUAAAAUUUAAUGGCUUUUAGUAUAUUUACAGAGUUGUGUCUGCUUUUGUCAGCUCAGGCUACCAUAACAAAACACCAUACACAGACUGGGUGGCUUAAACAAGAAAAAUUAUUAUUUUGCAGUUCUUGAAGCUAGAAGUCGAGAUCAAGGUACCAUGGUGGGCUUCUGCUAAGAGCUCUUUCUGGCCAAUAGAUGGCAGUAUUUUUUUUAAUCCUCAUUGGAGGAUAUUUUUUUCCUAUUG